UAGGGAAUCUUCGGCAAUGGGGGGAACCCUGACCGAGCAACGCCGCGUGAGUGAAGAAGGUUUUCGGCUCGUAAAGCUCUGUUGUUAAGGAAGAACGAGUGUGAGAAUGGAAAGUUCAUACUGUGACGGUACUUAACCAGAAAGGGACGGCUAACUACGUGCCAGCAGCCGCGGUAAUACGUAGGUCCCGAGCGUUGUCCGGAUUUAUUGGGCGUAAAGCGAGCGCAGGCGGUUAGAUAAGUCUGAAGUUAAAGGCAGUGGCUCAACCAUUGUAGGCUUUGGAAACUGUUUAACUUGAGUGCAGAAGGGGAGAGUGGAAUUCCAUGUGUAGCGGUGAAAUGCGUAGAUAUAUGGGGGAACACCGGUGGCGAAAGCGGCUCUCUGGUCUGUAACUGACGCUGAGGCUCGAAAGCGUGGGGAGCGAACAGG
rnacentral:rRNA from 1 species